rnacentral:rRNA from 1 species
AUUGAACGCUGGCGGCAUGCUUUACACAUGCAAGUCGAACGGCAGCACGGGAGCAAUCCUGGUGGCGAGUGGCGAACGGGUGAGUAAUAUAUCGGAACGUGCCCAGUAGUGGGGGAUAACCCGGCGAAAGUCGGACUAAUACCGCAUACGACCUACGGGUGAAAGCGGGGGAUCGCAAGACCUCGCGCUAUCGGAGCGGCCGAUAUCAGAUUAGCUUGUUGGUGGGGUAAAAGCCUACCAAGGCGACGAUCUGUAGCUGGUCUGAGAGGACGACCGGCCACACUGGGACUGAGACACGGCCCAGACUCCUACGGGAGGCAGCAGUGGGGAAUAUUGCGCAAUGGGGGGAAACCCUGACGCAGCCACGCCGCGUGGGUGAUGAAGGCCU